rnacentral:rRNA from 1 species
GACGAACGCUGGCGGCGUGGAUUAGGCAUGCAAGUCGAACGGUAGGAUACCUUCGGGUAUCUGAGAGUGGCGAACGGGUGAGUAACACGUAGGUGAUCUACCCUCAAGAUUGGGACAAACCCAGGGAAACUUGGGCUAAUACCGGAUGAAAGCAGCAGUGAUGUUGUUUGAAAGGUGGCGUAAGCUGCCGUUUGGGGAUGAGCCUGCGCUCUAUUAGUUAGUUGGCGGGGUAAAGGCCCACCAAGGCGAUGAUAGAUAGGCGGCCUUAACGGGUGGUCGCCCACACUGGGAUUGAGAUACGGCCCAGACUCCUACGGGAGGCAGCAGUCGAGAAUAGUCUACAAUGGCCGAAAGGCUGAUAGUGCGACGCCGCGUGAACGAAGAAGCCCUUCGGGGUGUAAAGUUCUUUUAUAUGUGAGCAGUGCUUUCUAUGUGAACAGCAUGGGGAGAGAGAUAUUAGCAUAUGAAUAAGCAACGGCUAACUCCGUG